rnacentral:rRNA from 1 species
UACGUAGGGUGCGAGCGUUGUCCGGAAUUAUUGGGCGUAAAGAGCUCGUAGGCGGUCUGUCGCGUCUGCUGUGAAAACCCGAGGCUCAACCUCGGGCCUGCAGUGGGUACGGGCAGACUAGAGUGCGGUAGGGGAGACUGGAAUUCCUGGUGUAGCGGUGAAAUGCGCAGAUAUCAGGAGGAACACCGGUGGCGAAGGCGGGUCUCUGGGCCGUAACUGACGCUGAGGAGCGAAAGCGUGGGGGAGCGAACAGG